GAUGAACGCUGGCGGCGUGCCUAAUACAUGCAAGUCGAGCGAACAGACGAGGAGCUUGCUCCUCUGACGUUAGCGGCGGACGGGUGAGUAACACGUGGAUAACCUACCUAUAAGACUGGGAUAACUUCGGGAAACCGGAGCUAAUACCGGAUAAUAUAUUGAACCGCAUGGUUCAAUAGUGAAAGACGGUUUUGCUGUGACUUAUAGAUGGUUCCGCGUCGCAUUAGCUAGUUGGUAAGGUAACGGCUUACCAAGGCAACGAUGCGUAGCCGACCUGAGAGGAUGAUCGGCCACACUGGAACUGAGACACGGUCCAGACUCCUACGGGAGGCAGCAGUAGGGAAUCUUCCGCAAUGGGCGAAAGCCUGACGGAGCAACGCCGCGUGAGUGAUGAAGGUCUUCGGAUCGUAAAACUCUGUUAUUAGGGAAGAACAAAUGUGUAAGUAACUAUGCACGUCUUGACGGUACCUAAUCAGAAAGCCACGGCUAACUACGUG
rnacentral:rRNA from 1 species